rnacentral:rRNA from 1 species
CACGUAGGGGGCGAGCGUUGUCCGGAAUCAUUGGGCGUAAAGAGCUCGUAGGCGGCUCAGUAAGUCGGGUGUGAAACCCCCAGGCUCAACCUGGGGACGCCACCCGAUACUGCUGUGGCUAGAGUCCAGUAGGGGAGUGUGGAAUUCCUGGUGUAGCGGUGAAAUGCGCAGAUAUCAGGAGGAACACCGGUGGCGAAGGCGGGUCUCUGGGCCGAUACUGACGCUGAGGAGCGAAAGCGUGGGGAGCGAACAGG